GUGGUUUAGAGAUUUAUAUAAAUUUAUAUAAGAUAAAUUAAUAUUAAUAUAAGAAAUUUAUUUAAAUAACAUUCUCAUAAUGUUUGCAAAACAAUAGAAUGAAACAUUCCCUUUAAUGUAGUAUCUAACAUUCACAUAACCAACAAUAAAGGUUUUGAAAACCCUAAUUAAAUGUAGGCUACCUGCUAGGGGAAGCUGGUUAAGCUGUUUCUGAAGUUAUUUAAAUGUGGUCUUGAGAAGCAAUAAAACCAGAAAUCAUCAACGGGGGUUUUGGUACAGGAAAUCCUGUUGUGAUUUCCAUCAAAUAUAAAGCUGCCACACGGUCACAGAGCAAGAAUCAGAUGAGAAAUGCUGCAGAUGAGGAUCUCCCACACACAGGAGACGAUGGCUCAGUUUUCAGUAAGUGUGAUUGUGCGGAUGGUCGUGGCUCUCACAGUCGUCUCAUCUUUGUCAUUUUACAGAAAGUAUGGAAAGGGAACAUCAGUAGUCGCAGGAUAUUCCACUGUUACCAUUGUCUGUAGACUGAAGGUCAAAGUGCAAGCAACCAGCAAAAAACAUUCAAGAGCUCAAUUUUACUACUUCUGAGGCAGGUGUUCCUGCAAAAAUAUUUCUUCAUGGAGGAGAAUACUGCAUAUUUAUAUGCAUAUUUUUUGUUUGCUCUUUAAAUCUAUUACAUUAAAAAAAGUGAAAUAGUGAAAUCU
ensembl:lncRNA